rnacentral:rRNA from 1 species
UACGUAGGGCGCAAGCGUUGUCCGGAAUUAUUGGGCGUAAAGAGCUCGUAGGCGGCUUGUCACGUCGGAUGUGAAAGCCCGGGGCUUAACCCCGGGUCUGCAUUCGAUACGGGCUAGCUAGAGUGUGGUAGGGGAGAUCAGAAUUCCCGGUGUAGCGGUGAAAUGCGCAGAUAUCAGGAGGAACACCGGUGGCGAAGGCGGGUCUCUGGGCCGAUACUGACGCUGAGGAGCGAAAGCGUGGGGAGCGAACAGG